rnacentral:lncRNA from 1 species
UCCACUCGAAACUCAUGUUUCAUUUUCUUUGCCCUUUCCUAUGUACAUUUGAACGACCUAUCGUAUUUCUAUAUUUCCUAAUUCUUUAUUUUUCACUUGAAUUCCUUUGCUAUUCAUAUGAUUUUCCUAUCCUGCAUCCGAAGAGGCCCGAAGUCGGUGAACACGAGCCGACGGCCAUUGCUUGAACUGGGCUGCUAGCCGUGCUACAUGCCUACAGGCUACAUCUGCACGCCUAACAGCAGAUACAAUAGCAGGUUAUAAGCCAGCUAUAAGUAUAUUUUAAAGAAAUAAAAUGUGAGAGAGAAAGGAUGUGGGCUACUAAUUUGUAGCCAGCUAGCUGUACACGGACUCCAAAACAAAAUAUGUAUAUAACAUGUGAGACUAUGUAUUGAUAUUUUAUAGAUAAUUACUGUAUAAAUUAGCUAUUAAAUUAAUUAAUAAUAAAUUGAAGCAUUU